CUCCAACGAGCGCAACCCUGAUCCAGCGACGCCGCGUGGGUGACGAAGGCCUUCGGGUUGUAAAGCCCUUUUGCCGGGGAAGAUGGUGACGCUACCCGGCGAAUCAGCACCGGCUAACUCCGUGCCAGCAGCCGCGGUAAGACGGAGGGUGCUAGCGUUGUUCGGAAUCACUGGGCGUAAAGGGCGCGCAGGCGGCCGCGUCAGUCGGGUGUGAAAGCCCGGGGCUCAACCCCGGAACGGCACCCGAGACGGCGCGGCUGGAGACCGGGAGAGGAGGGUGGAAUAGCCAGUGUAGAGGUGAAAUUCGUAGAUAUUGGCUGGAACACCGGUGGCGAAAGCGGCUCUCUGGCCCGGUUCUGACGCUGAGGCGCGAAAGCGUGGGGAGCAAACAGGAUUAGAA
rnacentral:rRNA from 1 species